GAACUCCAAUGGCGCUGUAGUCACUUUCUCUAUUUAAUUAUUUUAAUAACUUUAAAGGGUGAUAUGGUCAAAAUUUGGUCACACAAUUUGUUUCAUAACUUGAGACUGCGUACACCAAAACAGCUGAUUUUUGGACCAGUAAUGGUACAUUAUAUGGCAGACAUGGCAGAACAGCUUUCAACCGUUGGAGGGUUGCGUCAAUCUUGCCUUUGAGUUAGUGAUUAGUCCCAAAUCUCUGUGCUUUGGUGAGGGACGGGAAGAAGGUACUUCUUAUAACAGCAUUUGGGGCUGCACCACCUACAAAUUGUUGUGAUUUGCUUAAUGCCCGCAUAGCAAAUUACAAUUUGCCAUAAGAUCCAAACAAUAAAUCUCUUCUAUCUGAUAAUGUAAGUACACCACAUGAUGUUGAUAUUUUAUUAAACCAUAUAAACCAUGCACCAUUUGACUAUAAAUAACAGUCUAAGUAACCCGUACUAAGUUGUAGCUAUAAGGCAUAUUGUCCAGAUGUAAUAAGAUGAUAUGAGGAUCAAGAGUUGUGGGAAAUGGUUGAAAUAUAUCAUCACACCCUGUCGAAUGUUGCAAGCUUUCAUUUGCCUUGCACACUUAUACGUUUACAUUCUACUACAUUUUACUGAUGUAUAACAAUUUGGCAAAUUGUCACACGCAUUAGUAUCAGUGAGCACUUCGGAUCGAACCGAAAGCAGGCAGACUGACGGUUUGCAAACAAAACAGAAAAAUAAAAAAAAUGAAGCAGUGCGUUAUUCGCAUUUAUCAACGCAAUUUUAACUGCUUUAAAGUACUGUUGAAUUAGAUAUCAGAACAAGUUUUCUACCUCUCCUCUGCGCUGAAUCCGCCCACGCGUACUGCUGCCAGUGUUUUCAUAGCUUCAGGUGGAGUGCAAAUGUAUGUAAUUCUGUUGGCAGAAUGUAACUACCCAUUCGUUCCCGAGCUCGUUCCAACAAGGAGAUAUUUAUCCAAGAGUUCCGCGUUAUUAUGCCAAGGAGAAAUUCGGCAUACAACCCAUACAACACAACCACGCCACCCGCCCCCUGUGGGCAUCGGAGGGGUAUCGGAACCAGUAAAAUCCCUUCUGCUGGCAAAGCGGAUAUCAUUCAAGAAAUUGUGGCGAAAUUAGAGUUUAGUUACUGAGGAGGCAGUUACAAGUUCGCUGAAUCACCAUUAAUUCUACUGGCAAUGUGCCUUCCAUGGUACGGAGACCAACAACAGAGUAUUCUCGGACCGGAGAGGAGAGAGUCAUAGAGGUUACUUCUGGAGAAGAAUGCCCAAACAAUACUGUGCAAGGAUGUUGCUGCGGGACGCCCAGCAGUGGCAGGAGCUGGCGAAAUCUGUAAAACUUCAUCGGAAAACCUGAUGGAAAAGCAUACGGAGCUGGCGAAGAAUGUGGGAAAAAGGGCCCAGUAUUGUCAUACUCGAGUGAGUUGAAAUGAAGAAGUAGAUAUCAGUGGCGAAGUAAGCCGGAUAGGACCUAAAUCAGGAUACAAGAACCGGUCAUUUAGAACGGUUUAGGAAAUGUAGGAGUUUUUGAUUAACCCUUAACGACCGUUUUACGAUAAUUUCCACUAUUGUACUUUUAAUAUUCAUCAAUAUAUGUUCAUUCAAUUCAUUAUAUAUAUUUAUUUCUUUAUUUUUCAAAGCAAUUUGUUAUUUUCGAGUAAUGGUUUCACUAACAUAGAAUUUUCGUGCCAAAUGCAAUGUAUGUUCAAUUUUGGCGGAAAAGGUUUAUGGAGCUAGUUGCUCGAAAAUAACAAAUUGCUUUAGUAACUAAUUAUUUGAUAGUUUUAAUUUAAAAUUGUAUUUGAACAAUAUGGCAUGCUGUUUAUUUUAAUAUCUGCACAAUAAAUGAACAACUCGA